rnacentral:sRNA from 1 species
GAAAUGAUUUUCUGAAAUUUUUCAAAUUUUUUGGUUUUUCUAUGCCUUAGAUAAAUGCAGACUCAAGAAUAUAUACAAUGAAACACACACUUCCUGAGCCCUCCCCCAAACUUAAAUCACACAGUCCACUGUGCGAAUAAACUUGGAAGAGUGUACUUAGGACAAAUCCAUUCACAGGAACAAAAUGAAGAAACAAAUCACAACAGAUGAUAUAAUACAAUGGUGAAGUGAGGCGCUUACCUCAGUCGAAGAAUGAACGUAGUUGCUCGUUAAUGGCUGCCUGUGAUUGCUCUCAGGCCAUAGACGAACCGCCUUGUUCUGUAUCAGCUCCAGCAGGUGGGUAUUCGACCUCAUCAGUUGUGUGGCGGCCAGCACCGCUCUGAGGGUACUCGACCUCUCUCCUUCUGCUGCGGCCAGCACCGCGGUCGCGUAAAGUACGAGACUGCAGAAGUCGUCUGCUCCUGCUGCUAGAUCGAGUGAGUGUGGUCCUCUUCUUCCUCCUAGAUUCAUGAGGCUCGAAUGAUGAAUGCCUUGCGGGAACAUGCAGAAUCUCCUACUCUCUAGGCUCAGGCACGUCAUAUCUCCUCGAAAGCAUGUCCUGAGGGAGCUGUCCCUGCGGAAUAGCUGUAGUGGAAGAGGAGCAGCUGAUCUUGUUCUUCAGAAACGUGAUAGCCCUGAGGCACUUGGCGAGUAACUUAUCCUGUUUCUUGCACCACUUCUACAGCUUGCUGUUGUUCCUGUGAGCUUCGCUCAAACUCUUCCUUUCCCUCGUUGGAGGUAUAUGCUCACUUAAAUGAUACAUGCUCGUGUCAAAGUCCGCCUCAUCUAUAUCAUCUGUCUCAUCAACAUCUUCUGUUGUAGCUCCUUCGGUGUGACUGAUCUCCUCAGUUGGCGGACUGCCCUCGAAAUAAAGAUCUUCAAGCGCAGGCUUGAAGUUAAUGUUCCUGCCCUCGAGAAUCCUUGUAGCGUCAAUGUAGGGGAGAAGAAUGUUGGCGAUUCUAAUCGAUGAAUGCUCGAACCUAUAGCCGUGGAAGUCGCCAACCAUGUCAAACUCCAAGAACUCACAUUAGCGCAAAUGAUCCAAGUCCAUCAUCCUCGGUGCUAACCCUGGUUCCUUGAGUGGUACUCCACAAGCUUCCAGAAUUGGCGUCACAACGCCGCCCAUGCAUAACGCCCACUUCCUAUAUCCACACAGAUGGAUCAACAGAGGCAUUACUGGUGGUGCGUUGUUGAGAUCGCCUCUCAAGACAUUCUUUCCCUUUGUCCGGCGCUUGAACAAGUUGAAAACAUGAUAACAACAGUGUAACAGCAGGAUGAUAAGAGAAUGAACAACAGUAAACAAAAUCAAGAACAAAUGCUGAAUACUGAAUACUGAAUAGAUAAAGAGAAAUCCGGAUUACAAAAGGUCUAGAACACAAGGUCUGCGGAAUAAAACUAGAGAAAAACUUGUCUGCGAAAAUGUGAAGUACAUGCUACUUAUAGCCAAAUAUUCCGAAACCCUAAUACUCAAAACAACGAAGUAUUGGGACGGAUUAAGAACUGUACUCGACCCAAGUGGUCGAGUGCGAGGUCGAGUGAAUAGCUGGAGUCUUCUUUUCUUCCUUGUGCUCGAGUGUCUGGUUGAGAGCGGAAUGAAGAAGACUCUGAAGCUUGCCAUCGAGGGUGUAGUCGAGUGGUGGUGAAGGUGAUACUCGACUUCCAGGUAUAGUGAUGAGGUCGAGUGAUGAUCAGGUAAUGGUGGUGAAAACACUCGACCUCGGGGUCGAGUGAUGUGAUCGAGUGAUGGUCAGGUGAUGGAGACGCUCGACCUCGUGGUCGAGUGGUGAGGUGAAGUGGUGAUGUCUUCUACUCGACCUCGGGGUCGAGUGGUCUCUUGAGAUCUUGAAGCUUCUACUCGACCUCUGGGUCGAGUGGUUUGUCAUGAUCAGGUCCGCUUCUUCCAGUUAGCUCGUCAACAGCUCCAAAUCACCUGAAAUCAACACAAAUAUGCAACAUGCAUGCAAACCUUUCCUAAACAUGUAAAGUGAUGACAAAUGAUGAGAAAUGGUAUAAAACAGUGAUGAUAUGAUGCUAAAGUGAUGACAAAUGGAUGCUCAAAACAUAUAAAAUACACACUUAUCAACUCCCCCAAACUUAGUCUUUGCUUGCCCUCAAGCAAACAAUCAAGAACAACCUGGAGGUGAGGUUUGAAAGCGGGGACUCAGAGCCAAAGCACUAGAUAAACCAGAUGAAAUCAAUGUCCAAGUUGAAAGUUCUAAGCUGCAAGAUCGAAUUCUACUUAAAAAUGUUAGCCAUGCCUCAUUAUCAAUCAAUCCGACUCAUAUGCUCGACCUACACAUGUUUUCAAAUCUACCAAUCCCUUUAACAAUCAUUAGUUCUGGAACGUGAAUCAAGCAAUGCAUCAUCAAUGAACUCAUUUGGCUAAGGUAAAAGGUCAAGAGACAAAGAUGGUCCCUUAGAGAAUAGGCUUCUGUAACAGGGGAUCUCUCAAAAAAUGAUUAAGCUUUAAUAGAAUGCUAAAGGUAAGUCCCAAGCUAUCCAUACAGAGAUAAGAUCCCAUCUACCUAGAGUAUAUCAAAUGAAGCUCUAAUGGUAAUUCCAUCUCCAAUCCCAAUAUAAGAAUUUAACUCUACCCUUUGCAUUCAUGAAUCUUUUAAGCCCUUUUUCUAAUCAAUCUUUUCUUUUCUCUUAACUCUAGGAGAAGCUUUCUCAACACUUUGAUACAUCUAGCAGAUUUGGAUUUCUUUAACAACUAAGGUUCCUGUUUUUAACAUUCUAAAAUCAAGGGCUUUUGCCCAUCUUCAAUAGCUAACAAGAACUCUUUCUUUUCUUUACAAAUCCCAAAACCUUUAUUAGACUUUUUUUGCUUCUUUAGCUUACUUCACGUAGAGUCUUUUACCUUUUCUUAUCAAUAAAUCAACCCUUUUU